AGUGUUCGGAAAGGCCCCUGAAGAAAUACUGGAAUCAGCGUGCCGGAAGGUUAGUCUAUUUCAGAACCCAAAUGAUAUGAGUGGACAAGUUCGGGUAAAUUAUGCAAUGCUUCCUUUCUGAGCAAAGCUCCUUCUUAAGAAGAAGUGUGUAUACAUCAGUCAUGCAAACUUUUUACUGCUAAGGGGAUCCCAGCCUCCUCUGCCAGGCCAGACUGCACUUGGAGCAGAAGAUAAGGUCAGCUCCACCCUCCCCCGGCUCCCAACCUCAGGUCAAACUGGGACACGGCGGUGUGGAGACGCAAUGGACCACAUCGAGGUUGUCCGAAGUCUGGAUUCCCACCCCAAUUCCGUGAUCCUUUCACCAUCCCUGGGGGGCGUGUGAUGUGUGGGGUGACUCCGUGAUGCACAGCAGGCUGUGGAUGCCCCAGUCAGACUUGUUGCUGACACUGCUAGUUGGUAGGAAGCCCUUUAGUGACGUCAGAGUUAGAAAAGGGAACCAGGAAUUUCUGAGCUCCCACUAGGUUCCAGGAACUUCCCUCUGAGACUGGGUUCCCUGAUCCCUUAAGCAAGGGUGGUGUUAGUCACCUCUCUGAGCUUCUGCGGACCUAGGACAAGACAUUUACGCAUUCCCUCAUUCCCUUAUUCACUCAACAAACACUCCUGGGCGAACUAUGCCAGGCCCAGUGCCAGGAGUUAGGCAGGAACCAACAGAGACGUGGGCCUGCCCUUAGGGCCUCACAGUCUAGGGGAGCAGACAUGGAGCAGACGGCGUGUGCCAGGAGGGGAAGGAGGCAGACGGAGAAGAGGGGAAGGAGAUGUGGCUGCGGAGGCAAGAGGUCAGAGUGAUGUGAAGGAGCUCACGCCAAGGAGCUCGGUGGCCCCCAGGAGCCAGAAAAGGCAAGGAGAUGGAUUCUCCCAUGAAGCCUCCGGGAGAACCCCACCCUACCCACACCUCAAUCCCAGUCUCCUGGUCUCCCAAAAAAGCAGAGAAGAAAUCUGUGUUGCUUCCAGUCACCAAGUUCACAGUCAUUUGCUGCAGCGGCCCUCCCUUGGGAGCUACCCCAGCCUAUUUCCAGCAGAAGCAGUGGCGUUUACUCAGCAGGGUCAGUGGAGCAGAGGGGGUGAGGCUGGGGGCCUGGGGUCAAAGAUGGGGAGAGGUGAUGAGGGGCGAGGUGAAGGCGGCCACCUGGGUCCGGCAAGGGCAGAGCACCCUGCUGGGGAGGAGGCUGCAGGUCGGCCACUGUCUCCUGGAGUCUCCCCUUGGCUGACUGUGCCACGCCCCUGCCCCCCUCCCGACCGCCACCACCACCAACCAAGGGCACCCGGACCUUUGGUGGUGAUAAGCAUUCUCUGCCAGGUCAGUGCUGGGUUUUGCGCCCAGGUGGGGAGCAGAAAGGACACACAAUCGGUCAUCAGGGAAGCUGGGAGCCAACCUUACGAAGGGUCACACAAGUCCCCGAUCACCCGGGCAGCCUCCACUGGAAACGCAACCCCUGGCUUCCUGAACACCCACUCCCACAACCACAUACGAGGCCCUCCAGCCGGUUCACCACCUCCUCCGCCGGUCCCCUCUGCCCCGCGGCUGCUGCAUGUGACCCAGGCAGGCCCGCCCUCUCAGUUGGCCUUGGCGGCCAGGGUGGCGGUGACGGUCGGAAGAGGAGGUGGACACUCACUGCCCGCCGCGUGCCGGGCACCCAGAGGACACUCAGUAACAGGGCUGCUAUUUCUCCUCCUGCUCAGAUCUUGGCUCUGGCUGCAUCACUAGCUUGAGUUCCUUGAACAAGUCACUUCUCCAAGCCUCGUUCCCCCCAUCUGUAAAGUGGAAGCUAAACACCUACUUCGCAGGGCGGUACAGAGAAUGAGCUGCGGCCCCGAGUCUAACGGGGCCCCGGCACCACCACCUGGAAGGUUGUUCCCAUCUGCAUGCAGGGCUCAGCUCGGAGGGCUGCUCCCAGGCUAUCUGGGCCGUCACUGCCUCCUCUGGGCGUCCUGCACAAUGUACUUCAAGGCUUAGCACACGCAGCGCUGAACCAUGGCAUCCGUUCCUCAACCAGACUGUGACCAGUCACAGGUGGCAAGCGUGGUAGCAGCGUGGGGGACCGGCUUUAUCUCCCUUUGCAACCCAGCAGCUGGGAGGGGUGGGGAUACGAUGCUGUCACGGAAAGAUCAAUAUAUAGAAAUAACGGCCAAGGUAAAACUGGCACCUAACGGGUGUUGGAUGAGGGCUGGUCACUGCCGGUGGGUGCUUACUGGAUGUCUCCCUGAGGAUCUGGGGGUAAAGGCAGACUAUUAACCCAGGUCUCACUGGUUAGCACAAGAGCAAGUGGAAAGACCUCCAGGCUGAACUGUGUCAGCGGCUUUUGCCUGCGUGUACACUCCGUCCUUUGCUCUGUGAAGAAAUGAGCUUUGUACUUGACGCUGCUCUUCCUGAAUGAAGCAGUGUGGAAAGACAGGGUCAUCUCAUCCUGUCUCAGACCUCGUGAUCUGCACUUUGGAGAGAUGUCUUUGGGCAGCUUGGAGGAUGGAUUGGAGAGGGAGAAUCUAGAGGUGGGAGGCCUGGAGGAGGCUGGAUGCAGAAGCAAUGAAGUUCAUUCUGGAAGAAUAGCAGGGGACAGGGGGAGGGCCUGAGACCCACACUCCACACCCAGCUGCUGCAAGGGCCAGAGGGACAGAAGGCCAAGGGGUCCGGGUGGGCAAUUUUAUCCCCAACAAUACCAGCUCCCAGAGGGUGUAGGUGUGCAAUGGUCAUCCAAGUCCAGUGCUCAGAGCUCGAGAGCAGACAAGCAUCCUGCCAAGGGGUUCACCGAGCUUGUUCGCAUCCCUUGGCCCCCGCGUGCUUUGGGUGAUUCUGGGAGGUGAGCAGGGCAGGCUGCUUGAGGACAAACCCCAGUCUCCACGAGAGGAGGACACUGAGGCCCAAGAGGGGCAGAGAUGUGCUCAAGCCACAGAGCCGAGACGGGCUGUCAGAACAGACGCCGAGGUGCCUCUGCUACAUCCCUGCCGCCCAGCACAGUUCCUGGCAUGUGAUGGGAAGUAGACACAUGUUUGCAAAUGAAUGGAUGGGUGGAUGGGUGGAUGGAUGGAUCACUCACACAGACCAGCAUUCUGGGGGACAAAGGCAUGGUCUGUGGGAAGAGAAAGGAGGGUGACUUUUCCUGAGCAUUUGUAUGUGUCGGGUGUUCUCCCAGCAUCCUUCACUCGCCUCAGCAGCUAGAUGGAGCUCGCUAAGACCUGUGAACCUUCUCUCCAAGUGUGAGCUUCCUCGAGCCACUCAAGUCUUUGGGGAGGUUUCCCUUAAUACCUCUCAGGGGCUUUGUCACAAGUGAGUUUAUCUCAACCUCAUUCUGACCUUGUUUUCCAGCCCAGGUACCUCUCAAGGGUGGAGUCUUGGGGCUUCCUCUCUCUUGCAUGCCCUGUGUCCCAGACAUCCAAUGGUCUCCAAGCCCACUUUUUACUACCCUCCUAGAUUUUGUUCUAUUCUCUUCCCUCUUAUGGAGCAGUCCCUCAUCCCCCUUCACCAAUGUCCCUAUCUCAUUCUUCUGGUCCACAUCUGAGGGGACAACCAGAGUCCUUUCUCCAAAGCACAGAGGUGAUUGGGUUACCCCCAUCCUAACUUCUAAUCCUUCUAUCUUCCCCUAAAACCUACAGUUACAAUGCCCAAGCCUGGCUUUCAAGGCUGUGCCUUCCCGAAGCAGCCAAGCCUCUUUCUCCUCCCACUUGAGCACCCCACCAAGUGAGAUCUGGUGCAUCACAGGUGCUCAAGACUGGGCUGAAUGGGACCUCUGAUUCAAGCCCCCGGCGGCAGCACUAGCGCAUGGCCAUUUGAGGGCUGUCGGCGGAUUUAAGUGAACACCUGUGACCACUAACUAAGUGGGCAGAGUUGAGCCUCACACUUAGGACCCCCGAUUGUAAGGACGAGAUAGCUAGAAGAGAGGGUCCGCCUGUUCUGAGUCAGGGGCGCUCUAUGCAGAUGCCAGCUCUGUGUGGGGCCCUGGCGAAGCUCUCUGAGAUCUGACUGGCUCCGUUUGAAAACAGAGGUCAAAAGUUCUACCUGAGAGGGUGUUCAGGAGGAUGGAGCAACACAAGGUUUGCAGAGUGCUCAUGAAGGCUUCCCAGCACGCAGCAUCCGAAGCAGCCCCCGGUGAACGACUGUCAACCCAGAGGGAGACCCACCCCUCCACCACGGUGCGUCCCGCAUGCAAACUGCCGG